UAGGACGGGGUAGACAACAGGGUAUGCCUCAGUAACGGCGAGUGAAGCGGCAACAGCUCAAAUUUGAAAUCUGGCCGCAAGGUCCGAGUUGUAAUUUGUAGAGGAUGUUUCGGGCACCGCCGCGGUGUAAGUUCCUUGGAACAGGACGUCAAAGAGGGUGAGAAUCCCGUCUUGGAUCGCGGUAGGGCUCGUGUGAAACUCCUUCGACGAGUCGACUUGUUUGGGAAUGCAGGUCAAAAUGGGAGGUAAAUUUCUUCUAAAGCUAAAUAUUGGCCCGAGACCGAUAGCGCACAAGUAGAGUGAUCGAAAGAUGAAAAGCACUUUGAAAAGAGAGUUAAACAGUAUGUGAAAUUGUUGAAAGGGAAGCGCAGGCAACCAGACUCGAGCGCGGGGUUCCCCUGGUUCUGCCAGGUCACUUCCCCGCGACCGGGCCAUCAUCAGGUUUGGGGGUCGGUCAAAGGCCCCGGGAAUGUACCUACUCCUUCGGGGGUAGACUUAUAGCCCGGGGUGUCAUGCGACCUCCCGGGCCUGAGGAACGCGCUUCGGCGAGGAUGAUGGCGUAAUGGUUGUCUGCGACCCGUCUUGAAACACGGACCAA
rnacentral:rRNA from 1 species